rnacentral:rRNA from 1 species
UACGAAGGGGGCGAGCGUUGUUCGGAUUUACUGGGCGUAAAGGGCGCGCAGGCGGCUCAUUUUGUCAGGCGUGAAAGCCCCGGGCUUAACCUGGGAACUGCGUUUGAUACGGAUGGGCUAGAGUUCGGGAGAGGAGAGUGGAAUUCCCAGUGUAGAGGUGAAAUUCGUAGAUAUUCGGAAGAACACCAGUGGCGAAGGCGACUACCUGGUCUGGCAUUGACGCUCAUGUGCGAAAGCGUGGGGAGCAAACAGG